UAAACGUGGUGUUCACUAAAGUAAACAGUAUGAUCACACCAGUGGCGAUUUCUCUAAGAAUGCAAGGGAAGCUCAGCUAUGGCGUCAAAAUAGGGCCAAAAGUAUUGAGAUCCAAAAAGCAGAUAUUGAGAACCUAAAGAGCAGAUUUUGUGUUCAUUUUGUAUUUUACAUUUAUGAAUAGUUUUAUGCUUUUGACUGCGCUGUUUCUCAGUCAUGUUUCUCUCGGUCUCACUUUCAGUAUAAAAAGUUUCUCGUUUACGCUUUUUUCUGUGCUUCUCAGUUACGCUGUUUUCUGUGCUGCUCUCAGUUCCACUUCUCUCAGUUUUUCUCUCCAGUCAAAAUUUUUCUCAAGUUAGAGUUUUGGCCCCGUCUUGACGGGUGGGCGGGACCUCGUCACUUAUUGGCUGCUGGAGAUAAGCCCGUGUACGUUUAUAUUCUUGUGUUGCCAGAUUGGGAGGAUUUUAUUUUAAACUUGGGGGUUUUAAGAACCCCCCAUUGCAAAUAAAAAUGUUUUAAAUGUCACUAAAUGUAUAAUAACUAAUCUGUAAGAUAUCAGCAGUUUAGUAGUAUAAUGUUCUUUAUGAGCACGCAUUGGUGAUACUCCAUGCAUUUUGGUGUGUUUUAAAAUAUGUUUUAACACUGUAGCAAUCUGGCAACCCUGAUCACAACACAGUUUGGACAUUUGCUGGAGCAGCGUAUUUGAGUGUGGAGCAACAUGGUGCGGUAUUUGCAGCAAUAUGAACAGAGGAAUCCAUUCCUGUUUGUAUGAUCCUUUAGAGCAGCGUCUCUUAUCCAAACAUCUACAAAUAAUCUGUGGGCUGUAAUCAAAGAAACACAUGUAACUCUUAAAUAAGUGUAAAUAAUAUAUUAAUCUGUCUGAUUUCAUUUUCAAUUUUAGUUUUUUUGUGUAUCCAUAUACAUUGUUGUACUUAAUAUUUUUUUAUUUAUUCAAAAUAAUAAAAAACAUCUUUGUGCUGA